rnacentral:rRNA from 1 species
GACGAACGCUGGCGGCGUGCUUAACACAUGCAAGUCGAACGGAAAGGCCCUGCUUUUGUGGGGUGCUCGAGUGGCGAACGGGUGAGUAACACGUGAGUAACCUGCCCUUGACUUUGGGAUAACUUCAGGAAACUGGGGCUAAUACCGGAUAGGAGCUCCUGCUGGAUGGUGGGGGGUGAAAGUUUCGGCGGUUGGGGAUGGACUCGCGGCUUAUCAGCUUGUUGGUGGGGUAGUGGCUUACCAAGGCUUUGACGGGUAGCCGGCCUGAGAGGGUGACCGGCCACAUUGGGACUGAGAUACGGCCCAGACUCCUACGGGAGGCAGCAGUGGGGAAUAUUGCACAAUGGGCGGAAGCCUGAUGCAGCAACGCCGCGUGCGGGAUGACGGCCUUCGGGUUGUAAACCGCUUUCGCCUGUGACGAAGCGUGAGUGACGGUAAUGGGUAAAGAAGCACCGGCUAACUACGUG